CACGUAGGUGGCGAGAUAAGUCAAAGGUGAAAGCCCUCGGCUCAACCGAGGAACUGCCUUUGUAAACUAGUUUUGUCUUGAGUUCAGGAGGGGGGAGGCGGAAUUCCCAGUGUAGCGGUGAAAUGCGUAGAUACUGGGAGGAACAUCGGUGGCGAAGGCGGCUCCCUGGACUGAUACUGACACUGAGGUGCGAAAGCGUGGGUAGCAAACA
rnacentral:rRNA from 1 species